CAGCUUCCGGCCGUCAGAUUAGUCGUCAGUGCGCAGACACCGCCCUUCGUGGACACGCCCUCUAGGCGUAACGUCCCACGCGAGCGGUAAGAGUGCGGCGGGACUUGGAAAUCGAAUCUGUGCUCUGUGAGAGAUCCUAAGAAAGGAAACUGGGAGCCCGGGAGAACUAGAAUUCCCAAUUAAAAGUGAAUUUAAAUCUGAGCUGUUCUUAGACCCAGAAUUUCUUGCCUGAAGGAGGAGUCAGGUCCCCACAAGGAAAGACCCUGCAACUGUAUAAAAAAAGAAUCUAAAAAGAUCAUGACUCCUUCAGUCCUUUCCCAAAGAGACCUAUGGAAAUUUCCUCAGGGGUUAAGCUUGCAUUGCAGUCUCAUGGCUCUCCCAGCCUCCUCUAGCCCUCUCCCCAUUUCUUGCACCCAGGCAUUUUCCUCAACACACCUCUUGCACAGCUAAUCCCAUCUUGGUGUCUGCUUCUCAGAGGAUCAUAACUGACACAAGUAGGAAGAGGAAGUCUGAUACAUGGACAGUCAAGUUGAUAGUGCAUGGGUGCAAGUAAAAAAUGAAGUGGGCUGGGCGCGGUUGCUCACGCUUGUAAUCCCAGCACUUUGGGAGGCCAAGGUGGGUGGAUCACCUGAGGUCAGGAGUUCGAGACCAGCCUGGCCAAUAUGGUGAAAUCCCAUCUCUACUAAAAAUACAAAAAAUCAGCUGGGCAUGGUGGCAGGCACCUGUAAUGCCAGCUACUUGGGAGGCUGAGGCAGGAGAAUUGCUUGAACCCAGGAGGCAGAGGUUGUAGUGAGCUAAUAUCGCACCACUGCACUCUAGCCUGGGCGACAGAGGGAGACUCCAUCUCAAAAAAGAAAAAAAAAAGUGAAGUGGUGCUGCAUUAUGGACUCACUCGGGUGACCGAAAGAGAGCAGAGAGGGAAAUCGUCCCAAAUAGGCAGAGCUUCAGUGUUGCAUCUCAUCAUACACCUUGGGUGGAAAAGGUGUUUCCAGUGUUAGAAUAUGCAGGAAUUCAUGGAGAGUGGCAAGUGACAUGACUGGAAAACCCCUCAAGAACCUGGAAGAAGAAAUCUUGACAGAUUGGAGACAAAGAGAUUGGAGAAAGGGGGAUGUGAAUGGAACUAUGAGAGUGGGCAGAAAGUGUGAAGAUCUUUGUAUCAUUUAUUAAUGCCUAACCAGGAGCACCCACAACAGAAUAGACAUUAAACAGCUGCAUAAACAAAUGACUCAGCCAGUUGAUGUCAGUCAGCCUGUGUCAACAGCCACCCCAAUGCUGGCACAAAGGGCACUAGAACAGAAUAGCCUGAUGGCAGAGAUGAAGUGUGCAUGGCUCCAGCAGCACGGACUCCUCUCAUUAAGGCUGAUCUAGCUACUGUUGCUGCCCCAUGUCUAACUUGCCAGCAACGGAGACCAAAGUUGAGCCCCGGAAUCAGCACCAUUCCUCAAAGAGACCAGCUAGUCACUUGGUGGAAGAGGGACCAAGCAAAAUCCCAGAAGAAUUGAUCUCAAAGCUUAUUUUAUGAAGAAAAUUGACCUGAGUAACACAAAGGGUUGGACUGCAGUAGAUGUCACGUUUUGCUGCCUAGAUCUCCAUCCAGGGAUGAACUCUUAUUUCCUCAGCUUCUUUGUCUCCUCAGCUUCUGGGAGGGUUGGCAGCUGAUAUUCUCAGCUGAGUCCCUUUCUAGGACUUGCCCUUGCCUGAAGAGAGCUGUGCUGCCCAACAUGAUGCCUCCUCCAAGGUACAAUCCACACCCAGUGACUAAUAAACAGGGGUUACAAAGGCAUGCCUGCUUGCCCCAAUUUGGGACAACUUUACCAGGCCAACCCAGCCUCAAGGCUCUCCGCAGGAACAGGUGAGGCCAUAGUUGUGAUUACAUCACAGGUCAGUUUCUCCUCUGCCCAAGCCUUCUUCCUUCAUUCCUCCACAGAUGCUGAUCUUGAGAUUCCUUUCCAGUAAACUUCCUCCAUGCAAUCUUCAUCUCAGAGUCUGUUUCCUGGGGAAACUAACCUGCAACUGAUACAAAUGCCUAUUCUGUGAGAUAAAACACUAAAAGUACAAUGCGAGUGGUAUAAAUAUUCUGCUACAGGAAUACAAAGUCAGGUAUCAUUUUUGACUUAGGUAGUCAGAGAAUGGAGAUAUUCUGAGUUGGACUUCUGAGAUACUAGGAUUCAAUAGGUGAAGGGAAGAUGAGAUGGUAUAAGACUAACGUAGGCAGAAUUUUGCUAAACGAAUUGGAGAUGAAACAUCACAAGUGCAGGUGCACAAGUAGAAAAGUAAAAUCAGAGCUCAAGGAAGGGGAAGUGAUCCAGCUGGGCAGAAAUAUGGGGCCUAUAUAGAGAUAUACCAGGAAAUAAAGCCAGGACGAAUGGCAGGGUAGGACCUGAUUGUUAAGGGUCUUAAAUGCUGGGGUCAAGAUUGCGGCCCUUACUUAAAAGUUGGUUGGGCAUGAUUUUGGGAGUUGUAGCAAAAGAUGUGGCAAACUCAAAGCUUCCUUUUCAUGUAAAGUAUAGAGAAGUGGAGGUUCAUAUCAUUAAAUCACUGUAAUUUCAGUGUGAACUUCUAACAAUUUGAGCUAACCAUGAGAUAGGACACCUUAUCAAGCGAUGAGCUCUCCAUUAUCUAAACAGAUGCUGAAUUUCAAGUCCAUGUAGAAGAAGUCUUGUGUGACUAGAACAUAAUAUGUUUGGGGGGACUUUUCUUCUUUUUUACUGAUAUUUACUAACUUGGAUAUUGUGCUAAGUGCUUUACAGGUAUUCUUAUUUAAUCCUCACAAGGCAGUAUGGUAGAUAAUCUAUUAUAUUGAAAAUAAUGGGCCAGGCACAGUGGCUCACGCCUGUAAUUCCAGCACUUUGGGAGGCCGAGGCGGGUGGAUCACCUGAGGUCAGGAGUUCAAGACCAGCCUGACCAACAUGGUGAAACCCUGUCUUUACUAAAAAUACAAAAAUAAGCGUGGCGUAGUAGCUCACACCUGUAGUGCCAGCUACUCAGAAGGCUGAAGCACGAGAAUCACUUGAACCCACAAGUUGGUGGAGGUUACAGUGAGCCAAAAUCACACCACUGGACUCCAGCCUGGGUAAGAGAGCAUGACUAGGUCUCAAAAGAAAGAAAUAAAGAAAGAAAAUAAUGAACAAAAAACGUUGAGUGGACAGUAUUAAAUUUAAAAAAAAAACCUAAUGUGUAGGAGAAAAGUACAAAAAUUAGUCAACAAGCAGAGAAAGAAAGAAAAUAUAAAGGUAAAAAUGUAUGUUAUCCAAAUGAGACCUCUUAAGAAGAAAAAAUAAAGGAAAUUCAAAAAAUAAGUUAGGAAAUAGUGAGUAAAAUUAUGAAGUUAAAAAUUCACCAAAAAUUUAUUGAUAUGUCCAAGUUCAGCUUGUAGUGAACAGACUCUUCUUAUGCAGAAUUUGAGCAAAGUGCUAACACAACAGAGUUAGGUAAUGGGAUGAGGGUCAGUCAGAUCACUCUAUUUUUGGAAACUGGUUUCAUGACUGCUUCCCCUUACUUAGUCAUAAACAGGCUAUAUAAAAAGCUGUCAGAGUGGAAAGAGGGAGAGGAUUUGUGAAUUUUUUUUUUUAGCAUGUUUUUAUGGUUCUGUAAGUCCCCACCCUCCCAAAGGGAUGAAGUUUUGGGGUGCACUCCCCUUACCUCAGCCUAGUAGGGGGACUUCCAGGAGAUAAUGAGAGAGUUGGAUGUUUCCUCAAAUUUACAGACACAAAGACUGGUGCCUGGCUUCUCCUGAUAAAGCUAAACCUGCAUGUGGCUGGUCUCUAGUUGGCUAGAUAGUAGUAGUUAAAAUGAAAAGAAACACUUAAUGUUAGAUGCCAUCCAAUAGGGCCACCUAAAGGGAUGGAAGGUUCUCAGCAGCAAGAGCCCAGAGGUAGAAGCAAGGCUCUUCGGGGGGAAGGAUGGAGUCGCAAGUGAAAACCUAGACAAAGAAGCAUCUGUCCUGGUCCAGAGGCUUCCCCAAUAAAGAUGUCUCACACAACUCUAAGAAGUUAGAACUCUAGAAAAAGACUAACAAGAAAAAGAGUAAGGUGUGUUUGUGGAAGAGGUGAGGCAGUUGUUUUCCUAUAAAUAAUGUUAAAUUAAACUAAAUUUGGUCUGAGGAUGCCUCGUAACUUGAGUCUCUACAUGACAAACUGCAACCUAACUUAGGAGUAUUUUUUUUUUGUACUAACCAGGUGAGUCUCAGCCAAUCACAGCAGCCAAGCUACAGCCAAUCCCAUGUGGCCAACUGAUCAGCCUAGGCCCAGUAACACAACUGCUCACCUGUAACUACUCAAGCUGCUUCUGGACCUCAUUUCCAUUUGCUGUUUAUAAGUGCUGCCUGCCCACCUUGCUGAGCAGAACUCUCUGAACUUCUUUCGUUUUUGAGGGUUACUUGAUUAGAAAAUUGUUCUUUGUUCAAUUAAAUUUUGCUAAAUAUAAUUCUUUUAAAGAUUUUCUUUUAACAACAAAGAUGGGGAUAUUUGAACAAUACCUUGUUUGGAGGUGACAUUCUAAUUUCUAAAUUGAGGCUAUUUGUAUUUUUAGCAGGACCCAAGGACUGUCACUUAAAAGCAGGCUAAAAAGCCUUGAAAUUUUCUAACUUUCCAUGCGAGAGCAGUGAUAGAUAACCCCACUACGCAAAAUGUCAUGGGGCCAUAGGAGACAAAAAAUAAAGCUGUGUUUCAACUGCG